rnacentral:miRNA from 1 species
GUAAUUUUAAACCUAAACCCUAAA